CAAGUCGAGCGCUCAUAGCAAUAUGGGAGCGGCGAACGGCGUAGGAAUUCAUAGGAACGUACCCUCAGGACGGGGAUAGCUACGGGAAACUGUAGGUAAUACCCGAUGAUCUCCGCGGAGCAAAGGUGUGAUUCCGCCUGAGGAGCGGCUUAUGCGAUAUUAGCUAGUUGGUGGGGUAAUGGCCUACCAAGGCGAAGAUGUCUAGGGGGUGUGAGAGCAUGGCCCCCACGACCGGAACUGAGAUACUGUCCGGACACCUACGGGUGGCUGCAGUCGAGAAUCUUCCGCAAUGGACGAAAGUCUGACGGAGCGACGCCGCGUGCGGGAUGAAGGCCCUUGGGUUGUAAACCGCUUUCGGAGGGGAUGAAAUCCUCGAGGGUUCUCCCUCGAGGUUGACAGAGCCUCAAAAGAAGCACGGGCUAAGUACGUGCCAGCAGCCGCGGUAACACGUACUGUGCAAACGUUAUUCGGAAUCACUGGGCUUAAAGGGUGCGUAGGCGGCGAUUCAAGUCAGAUGUGAAAUGCCUGAGCUCAACUGAGGCAUUGCGUUUGAAACUGAAUUGCUAGAGUAUUUCAGGGGUGUGCGGAACUGCCAGUGGAGCGGUGAAAUGUGUUGAUAUUGGCAGGAACACCGGAGGCGAAAGCGGCACACUGGGGAAUAACUGACGCUGAGGCACGAAAGCCAGGGGAGCGAACGGGAUUAGAUACCCCGGUAGUCCUGGCUGUAAACGAUGAGCACUGGGCGGGAGGGGGUUUCCCCUUUCUGCCGUAGCGAAAGCGUUAAGUGCUCCGCCUGGGGAGUAUGGUCGCAAGGCUGAAACUCAAGGAAUUGACAG
rnacentral:rRNA from 1 species